GAUGAACGCUGGCGGCGCGCCUAACACAUGCAAGUCGAACGGCACCUAUCUUCGGAUAGAAGCGAGUGGCGAACGGCUGAGUAACACGUGGAGAACCUGCCCCCUCCCCCGGGAUAGCCGCCCGAAAGGACGGGUAAUACCGGAUACCCCGGGGUGCCGCAUGGCACCCCGGCUAAAGCCCCGACGGGAGGGGAUGGCUCCGCGGCCCAUCAGGUAGACGGCGGGGUGACGGCCCACCGUGCCGACAACGGGUAGCCGGGUUGAGAGACCGACCGGCCAGAUUGGGACUGAGACACGGCCCAGACUCCUACGGGAGGCAGCAGUGGGGAAUCUUGCGCAAUGGGGGGAACCCUGACGCAGCGACGCCGCGUGCGGGACGGAGGCCUUCGGGUCAUAAACCGCUUUCAGCAGGGAAGAGUCAAGACUGUACCUGCAGAAGAAGCCCCGG
rnacentral:rRNA from 1 species